GACGAACGCUGGCGGCGUGCUUAACACAUGCAAGUCGAACGGAAAGGCCUAGCUUGCUGGGUACUCGAGUGGCGAACGGGUGAGUAACACGUGGGUGAUCUGCCCCUGACUUUGGGAUAAGCCUGGGAAACUGGGUCUAAUACCGGAUAUUCAUUUUUCCUCGCAUGGGGAUUUGUGGAAAGCUUUUGCGGUUGAGGAUGGGCCCGCGGCCUAUCAGCUUGUUGGUGGGGUAAUGGCCUACCAAGGCGACGACGGGUAGCCGACCUGAGAGGGUGAUCGGCCACACUGGGACUGAGACACGGCCCAGACUCCUACGGGAGGCAGCAGUGGGGAAUAUUGCACAAUGGGCGCAAGCCUGAUGCAGCGACGCCGCGUGAGGGAUGACGGCCUUCGGGUUGUAAACCUCUUUCAGCUCCGACGAAGCGCAAGUGACGGUAGGAGCAGAAGAAGCACCGGCCAACUACGUG
rnacentral:rRNA from 1 species